CGAUUACAAGAGAUCGUAGGAAUGAACAUUAUUUUUUUAGUCUAAUUCUAUUUAUUACAAACAACAACAUGAAUAUUAUAAAUUUUCGUUUCAAGUAGAAAUCACCGCCAAUAAGUAUAUUAAGUUAGGUAGGUAGUUUAAACAGCUGCAAAAUGCCUGUAGACUGACUAAAACUAACCGAAUAAGCCAAAAGUCGAUCGAUUCUUAUUCACAUCCAUUAAGUUACCCAAUUUAAAAGUAAUAUAUUUGCGUACAUAGAAGCAGUAAAAUGAUUCUAAAAUGUUAAUAUAAGUAUUUGUUUAAGUACUAUUUUUCUGACAAGUAACUUACCUAAUUUUAAAGGAAAGUGGACCAGAACGACAAUUGGACCUGUGGCUGUUCUACGUGAGAUCAAUAUCCAUGUAUUCAACAUUUAAAAGUUUACGAAAUUCCAUACUUACAAGAUAUAAACAUAUUCAUAUAGACGUUUUAUCAAAGAGCAACAGUUAAAUUAUUCGAAAUUGAAAAUAUAAAUGCAUAUACAUCGG